CGCAACGCGCCGCAGGAAGAUGGCGGAUUUACGACCGUGUCGUCAUAACAACGGGCCGCGCUGAGGCGAGCGAGAGAAAACGACGAGAGGAGGCCGACGGGGCGGAGCCAGGUGAUAUUUAAUUAGCUCUAUGAAGCUAAGCACUUUACAGGAUUUUCUCAUUUAAGAUACCAAUCGCCCCCAUUUUGAAGAUGAAGAAACUGAGGCACAGUACUGAUACAACGCUUGCCCAAGGGCGGACUGGAGACUGAAGUCUGCACAGAGCCAUGGGCUGGAAGCCCACAGGAUGUGCUCUCUCCCACAUCAGUUAUCUUCUGUGGCCCAGCCCUGUGCUGAAUCCCAGAGACUCAGAUGAAUCAGAACUGGUCUCCUCCAGGAAGGCUAAUCUCUAGAAAAGACCAAGCAGAGACUCAAGGGACGGGGCAGAGAGUAGACUGUUCUGCCCUGGCAAGGACACCAAGCAGAGACUGUCUCCAUGCUGGGGCUGCCCAGCUGGGCCCCCGAGGACCCUUGGCCUGGCAGAAGCUGGCCUGUGUGAAGCACAGGUCAGAUGGUCAGAGGUCAGACUGGGGUAACGAUGAGGUUGCUUUCUGCAUGAGGCUUGCUCGCCAAUGCAGGGGGAUAGGCAGACGGUGUGAAAGCAUUUCAAAAGGAUCCCUCUGACCACUGUGCGGAUAAAAGGACCUCAGGGCCCAUAGAGGCAGGAAGAUCCCAGAUGGAUGGUCUCUGAGAGGGACAAACAGGAGGAAGGCCGGGGGAAGGGGGGGGGGGGAGCUUGUGGAGGGGGCUUCUGGGAAGGGAGGACCAGGAAGACACCUUACUUAAGGAUGUGCUGAAGAGUAAUGGUGAAGCCAGCAUCAGAGAGAGAGAGGAAGCCCCAGAGGAAUGGGAUAGGGCAGGGUCUCAAAGGCAGAGGACACCCUGAGUGUGGGUGGACACGAGGAGCAGCCGGCCCAGGGGAGACGGAGAGCCUGCCUGCCACGUGCUCCAGAACCGUGUCCGGAGCGGGCCAAAGCUCCUGCCUGGUGGCUCCCUGGGAGUCAGGAAAGGGCAUCCUGCACCAGUGAGUCCCAGGUCCUGCGUUAGCGAGAGCCCAGGCAGGCCAGCGGGUACAGGGGCAGACAGGCCUAAGGUCACUGAAAGGCAGAGUGGCCAGAGAAAGACAGGAAAACCGGAGUCCCCAUUCCCCCCAACAGCCUCCUCCCCGACCCAGCCCUCCUCGGCACGGGCUCCAGCGGCACCCUGUGUAUUUUAGAGUCAGUGCUGUGCUGACCUGCCGUGGCCAGAGCCACGGAGACUCCAUCACCCUUUAUGAGGACUGCUCAACCUCUGUUCUUUGAUGGACUUAUUGAACCAAUCCCAUGUUGAAGAAUAUUUAGAUUGCUUCCAAAUUUUUUUGUGUGCCACUUGAGUCCUUUUGAAAUGACUCCCUUUUUUACUUAGCUCAUUGGAAGCAAUACCAUCUGCGAAAACAGAUUCAAUGGCUACUUGCAUUUUCUAAUACAACUUUUUUCAUGUUUGCUUAUUUAUUUUGAGAGAGAGAGAGAGAGUGACCAUGCAAGCAGGGGAGGGGCAGAGAGAGAGGGAGAGAGAAAGAAUCCCGAGCAGGCUCCUCACUGUCAGCGCAGAACCCAACAUGGGGCUCGAUCCCACGAACCAUGGGACCAUGACCUGAGCCGACAUCAAGAGUCAGACCCGGCCUCCUGAGCCACCCGGGCACCCCCAUUAGUUCCUAAUACAAUUUAAAUCCAUGCAAGGCUGUUAAAAUUAAAUAGCGUCUGGUGU